rnacentral:rRNA from 1 species
ACUGCUAUUGGGAUUCGACUAAGCCAUGCGAGUCGAGAGGGUUCGGCCCUCGGCUGACGGCUCAGUAACACGUGGAUAAUCUGCCCUAAGGUGGAGGAUAACCUCGGGAAACUGAGAAUAAUACUCCAUAGGUCUAAGAUACUGGAAUGUUCUUAGACUCAAAACUUCGGUGCCUUAGGAUGAGUCUGCGGACUAUCAGGUUGUAGUCAGGGUAAAGACCUGACUAGCCUACGACGGAUACGGGUUGUGAGAGCAAUAACCCGGAGAUGAUAUCUGAGACACGAUAUCAGGCCCUACGGGGCGCAGCAGGCGCGAAAACUUCACACUGCGCGAAAGCGCGAUGAGGGAAUCCCAAGUGCUUGCACGUAAGUGUAAGCUGUUUUUAUGUUUAAAAAGCAUAGAGAGUAAGGGCUGGGUAAGACGGGUGCCAGCCGCCGCGGUAAUACCUGCAGCUCAAGUGGUGACCGUUAUUAUUGGGCCUAAAACGUCCGUAGCCUGUCUAUUAAAUGCCUGGGUAAAUCGUGUAGCUUAACUAUACGAAUUCCGGGUAGACUGAUAGACUUGAGAUCGGGAGAGGCUAGAGGUACUCCUGGGGUAGAGGUGAAAUUCUGUAAUCCU